UGAAAAUGAAGAUGAAACUGAUAAUUCCAGUGUUGCAAGUGAUGAUGAUAUUUCAAGUGUGGAAGAUGAAGAACAAGAACAAGAAUGUGUACAAGAAGGCAUUUCUUUUGGACCUGGACGUCAAUUUUCACAGUAUGAAGAUCGCUAUAAAGUCCAAAAAGAAUUGGCAUUAGUGGAAGAAUUAAAGGUGUUAUCCUCGGUGUCAAAACUGGUAGAACUUUUCAAGAUCUGCAGAGAACCUGGUUGCCUUGAAGGUACCACAGUAAAGACCAAAGUAUGUGGGGCUACGGUCGAAAUUUCAUGGUGUUGGGAAAAAAAUCACAAUGGAAAGUGGGCAUCYUCAGAAAAAUAUAGUGGAGUUUAUGCGAAUAACAUUCAGUUUUGUUCCGCAAUCCUGUUGUCUGGU